AGAGUUUGCUUCUGGCUCAGGAUGAACGCUGGCGGCAUGCCUAAUACAUGCAAGUCGAACGAGGGUCCUUCGGGACUCGAGUGGCGAACGGGUGAGUAACACGUAGGGAACCUGCCCGUGCGACCGGGAGAACUUUCGGAAACGGAAGCUGAUACCGGAUAGGGACAGAGACGGCAUCGACUCUGUGUUAAAGGAGCUGAAAGGCUCCGCGCACGGAUGGACCUGCGGUGCAUUAGCUGGUUGGUGAGGUAACGGCCCACCAAGGCGACGAUGCAUAGCCGGCCUGAGAGGGCGGACGGCCACACUGGGACUGAGACACGGCCCAGACUCCUACGGGAGGCAGCAGUAGGGAAUUUUCGUCAAUGGGCGCAAGCCUGAACGAGCAAUGCCGCGUGAACGAGGAAGGUCUUCGGAUCGUAAAGUUCUGUUGAAGGGGAAAAAGAGCGGAGAGAGGAAAUGGUCUCCGAUUGAUAUUACCCUUCGAGGAAGUCACGGCUAACUACGUGCCAGCAGCCGCGGUAAUACGUAGGUGGCGAGCGUUAUCCGGAAUGAUUGGGCGUAAAGGGUGCGUAGGCGGCCUGCUAAGUCUGGAGUGAAAGGUACCGGCUCAACCGGUACAGGCUCCUGGAAACUGGCGGGGCUAGAGAGCAGGAGAGGGCGGGGGAACUCCAAUGUGAAGCGGUAAAAUGCGUAGAUAUAUGGAAGAACACCAGUGGCGAAGGCGGCCGCCUGGCCUGUUACUGACGCUGAGGCACGAAAGCGUGGGGAGCAAAUAGGAUUAGAUGCCCUAGUAGUCCACGCCGUAAACGAUGAGGACCAAGUGUUGGGGAAGACCCAGUGCUGCAGUUAACGCAGUGAGUCCUCCGCCUGGGGAGUAUGCACGCAAGUGUGAAACUCAGAGGAAUUGACGGGGGCCCGCACAAGCGGUGGAGUAUGUGGUUUAAUUCGAAGCAACGCGAAGAACCUUACCAGGCCUUGACAUAGGGUGCGAAGCUAUGGAGACAUAGUGGAGGUAAACAUCCAUACAGGUGGUGCAUGGUUGUCGUCAGCUCGUGUCGUGAGAUGUUCAGUUAAGUCUAGCAACGAGCGCAACCCUCGUGAUGUGUUACCAAUAUCGAGUUAGGGACUCACAUCAGACUGCCGGUGAGAAACCGGAGGAAGGCGGGGAUGACGUCAAAUCAUCAUGCCCCUUAUGGCCUGGGCUACACACGUACUACAAUGGCGGCGACAGAGGGCAGCGAGCCUGCGAAGGCAAGCGAAUCCCAAAAAAGCCGUCCCAGUUCGGAUUGGAGUCUGCAACCCGACUCCAUGAAGUUGGAAUCGCUAGUAAUCGCGGAUCAGCAUGCCGCGGUGAAUACGUUCUCGGGCCUUGCACACACCGCCCGUCA
rnacentral:rRNA from 1 species